UGCCACUAUGCUUGACUCAGCUUUUCCAUGUCGACCUGUAAGACCCAAGGACUGGCGACCCCACCUCCUGAUAGAGUUCUGGGUCCAUGAAUGUCAGGAGGACCCUCCAGUGGCUCCCUGUGGAGAUGACCGUGGAGUCUCCUGCUAUGGGUGAUAAAGGUCCAUUUUUCUCCACGGAACACACUGAACACUGGGGACUUCAGCCUCAAGAAGUCCCAGACCUGGCUCCAAUUUUGGGAAAACUGAAGGUUCCACAGAGUGGAGUCUCUUCUAUGGAAUGGAGAAUGUAUCCAUGACCAGAGUCUGCUAGCGUCCAGUGUGGGUGCUGUGUUGCCAGCACUGCCUUUCCUGGUUGUUCCCUUCUUCUCUAAGGCAUGCCUGCAGUCCACCCUGAUCUACACAAUCCCUCACCGAAACUCUACCCAGGCGAUUCUAGGCCUUGUCAAGCUGACAUCCGAAAUUACCCAUCACGUGAUGGUUUCACUCUACGGCGCAUGCGUGGAGGUCAAUGGCACAGUGGACGGACGGCGAACAAACGGUAGGACACUGAGUGGCAUUCCAAGCUGUUCACGCCGUAGGGCUCCAGGGUCAGUUAACAUAUCCAAAUCCAGCUCAACCAGGGAUUAAAGCUAAAACUGGUGUGUAGCGUUCUAGCUCUUUCAAACACAACUCUUAAAAGUAUCGUUAAAGAUCUUGAAAGUAUCCACACUAGUUCUGUUCUUUUGCUUCCUUAUCACUAAGUUAUACAAAUGUCUCAUUCUUCCGGGUCUCAGCCGUCCUCUGAUGACCAACCACUUUCUAGGUUUGGCAUCCAUUUCCUGUUUCUUUUUGUACAAAUGAA